GAUGAACGCUGGCGGCGUGCCUAAUACAUGCAAGUCGAGCGAACAGACGAGGAGCUUGCUCCUCUGACGUUAGCGGCGGACGGGUGAGUAACACGUGGAUAACCUACCUAUAAGACUGGGAUAACUUCGGGAAACCGGAGCUAAUACCGGAUAAUAUAUUGAACCGCAUGGUUCAAUAGUGAAAGACGCUUUUGCUGUCACUUAUAGAGAGAUCCUCGCCUCAUUAGCUGGUUGGUAAGGUAACGGCUUACCAAGGCGACAAUGCUUACCCACCCGGAGGGGGUGAUCGCCCACACUGGAACUGAGCCACGCCCCAGACUCCUACGGGAGGCACCAGUAGGGAACCUUGCGAAAUGGGCGAAAGCUUGACGGAGCAACGCGGCGUGAGUGAUGAAGUUUUUCGGAUCGUAAAACUCGUUUAUAAGGGAAGAACAAAUGUGUAAGUAACUAUGCACGUCUUGACGGUACCUAAUCAGAAAGCCACGGCUAACUACGUG
rnacentral:rRNA from 1 species